rnacentral:rRNA from 1 species
UACGGGGGGGGUAAGCGUUGUUCGGAAUUACUGGGCGUAAAGGGCUCGUAGGCGGCCAACUAAGUCAUACGUGAAAUCCCUCAGCUUAACUGGGGAACUGCGUGUGAUACUGGAUGGCUUGGAUUUGGGAGAGGGAUGCGGAAUUCCAGGUGUAGCGGUGAAAUGCGUAGAUAUCUGAAGGAACGCCGGUGGCGAAAGCGGCUCACUGGACCGUCUCUGACGCUGAGGUGCGAAGGCUAGGGUAGCAAACGGG